AGUGAACCAGUACCGUGAGGGAAAGGUGAAAAGAACCCCGGGAGGGGAGUGAAAAGAAUCUGAAACUGUAUGCUUACAAGAUGUCAGAGACCGUUAAAGGUUGAUGACGUGCCUAUUGAAGAAUGAGCCGGCGAGUUAUGUAUACAUGCGAGGUUAAGGAGAAGAUCCGGAGCCGUAGCGAAAGCGAGUCUGAAUAGGGCGUUCAGUAUGUGUAUGUAGACCCGAAACCCGACGAUCUAGCCAUGAUCAAGAUGAAGUAAGGGUCAAACCUUAUGGAGGUCUGAACCGACGUUCGUUGAAACGACCGCGGAUGAAUUGUGGCUCGUGGUGAAAUUCCAAUCGAGUCGGGUAAUAGCUGGUUCUCCCCGAAAUAGCUUUAGGGCUAGCCUUGGGACAUUGUUUAGUGGGGGUAAAGCACUGAAUAUGAGCGAGCCGCGCCAAGCGGUAUCAAUUUCAAUCAAACUCCGAAUUCCGAGAUGCUUAUUCUGGGAGUCAGACUGUGGGAGAUAAGUUUCAUGGUCAAAAGGGCAACAGCCCGGACCGCCAACUAAGGUCCCUAAAUUCGCGCUAAGUGUUAAAGGAUGUAGAGAUACUUAAACAGCUAGGAUGUUGGCUCAGAGGCAGCCAUCAUUUAAAGAAUGCGUAACAGCUCACUAGUCAAGUGUCUCCGCGCCGAAAAUUUACCGGGGCUAAGCGCGAUACCGAAGUUGCGGAUAUUUCUAAAGAAAUGUGGUAGGGGAGCGUUCCAUUAGCAUAGAAGCCAUACCGGAAGGAGUGGUGGAGCGAAUGGAAGUGAGAAUGCCGGCGUAAGUAACGAUAAGAGGUGAGAAUCCUCUUCACCAUUUGACUAAGGUUUCCUGGGCUAGGUUCGUCCACCCAGGGUCAGUCGGGACCUAAGACGAGGCCGAAAGGCGUAGCCGAUGGACAGCAGGUUAAUAUUCCUGAACCCGGUUGUGUGCGAUCGCAGUGACGAAAGCGGUUAGGUUUACCCACGAAUGGAAGUGUGGGGAGAUAGUGAUAAGCUGUCGGCUAGAAUCCGACACCAAGUGAAACACCGAAGUACGAAAGGGGUGACCUGAGUAGGAAGUAGCUGAUACCGAUUUCCAAGAAAAGCUGCUAGCUUAAGCACAAUCGGCCCGUACCGAGAACGGACACACGUGGUCAAGGAGAGUAUCCUAAGGUGAGCGAGAUAACUGUUGUUAAGGAACUCUGCAAAAUUACUUCGUAAGUUAGCGAGAAGAAGUGCUCCGUAAAAGGAGCCGCAGUGAAGAGGCCCAAGUAACUGUUUACCAAAAACACAGCUCUAUGCUAAGUCGUAAGACGAUGUAUAUGGGGUGAAGCCUGCCCGGUGCCGGAAGGUUAAUAGGAGAGGUGAAAGCUUUGAAUUGAAGCCCCGGUGAACGGCGGCCGUAACUAUAACGGUCCUAAGGUAGCGAAAUUCCUUGUCAGGU
rnacentral:rRNA from 1 species